GACUUCCUCCCCUGCUGCCUGGGCUGCGGUAGCUCUUCCGGCACCUGCUCUUCAGGCACCUGCCCUGUGCUGGCCCCUCCUGCAACAAUCGGGAGCCCUCACCUCAGUCGGCGCUGCAGAACCAGCCCAGGAGAGCAGCUGGCCUGUCAUCUGCUGAGGAGCGGAGGCGGCUGUGCCCAGGACUGCAAUGGCCUCCCACACUACCUCACUACCCUGGUCCAGGCUCACUGACAGAUGAGGAAACUGAGGCAGGGGCCCCGGUCUCACGGCCAUUGGUGCAGAGCUGGGAUCCACGACCAGGUGGGCUCUUUGUUA
rnacentral:lncRNA from 1 species